AUUGAACGCUGGCGGCAUGCCUUACACAUGCAAGUCGAACGGCAGCGGGCCCUUCGGGGUGCCGGCGAGUGGCGAACGGGUGAGUAAUGCAUCGGAACGUACCCGGGAGAGGGGGAUAACCGGCCGAAAGGCUGGCUAAUACCGCAUGAACUCGGAAGAGCAAAGCGGGGGACCUUCGGGCCUCGCGCUCUCGGAGCGGCCGAUGUCCGAUUAGGCUAGUUGGUGGGGUAAAGGCCCACCAAGGCGACGAUCGGUAGCGGGUCUGAGAGGACGAUCCGCCACACUGGGACUGAGACACGGCCCAGACUCCUACGGGAGGCAGCAGUGGGGAAUAUUGGACAAUGGGCGCAAGCCUGAUCAAGCAAUGCCGCGUGGGUGAAGAAGGCCUUCGGGUUGUAAAGCCCUUUCGGCGGGGAAGAAAUCGGUCAGGCGAAUAGUCUGGCCGGAUGACGGUACCCGCAGAAGAAGCACCGGCUAACUACGUG
rnacentral:rRNA from 1 species